CUGAGCGGCGCCGUAGCCCGCUUUUUGAAGGUAGUAAGCGCUAGCGCAAAGAAAACAUGUCCUUCUCUGUGCUGGCCGACAGUGACAGGCAGUCUGAACUACGAUUGCAUGAAAACAUACAACAGGUCACCAUGCUCGUUUUCUGCUGCGGUGACCGGGGAUUGUUGGAGUUGUUGCCAACAUGUUAGCAGUCAGAAAAGUUGUCGAGAUGGAUACUCUAAGAAUGCAAGACUCACUAAAAUUGGAUCUUGAACUCCUGUCAGACAGGGCCUGCCUUGCGAAGUAUCCCAACUAUCCAUUUACCAGUGAGACAUACUGUAUGGAGGAAAGGUUAAAGUAAUCUGAACACAUGGAAGCCUACAUCAGGUAAUUGAAGACUGGGUUAUUAAAAUGCAGUAUGAUUAGCUGUGUCAGCCGAAGAGAAAGAGGAUUUUGAAUGGUGCGGUUGUUCUUUAUGCAAAGCUGAGACGCGACGCCUUCCAGACGGUGAGAGAUGGCAAGCCCUAAUAAUACAGAGCUGUACAAUGGUUCUGACAGGCGAGCAAUAAAGCAAUCAGGGUCCUAGGCAUUCCAAAUCUCUUUAACGCCCACCCUCUAACAGUCUGAGAGAUGGGCGGCUGACCUGCAGGCUGUCAAUCAUGGCGAAUACCUGCUGGAGCCUGAUCAGGGAGAACCGAGGGCACCAGUCUAUCAGAUCUGUUUUCACACUCCAGACACUAACAUUGCAAGCAUAACCACAUAGACAA